CUCUCGGCCCCUCCAAGAGCUUCCUUCUUAUCAACAUCAUUUGGAAAGCUUGUUUGUCCUAUGGUUUGACUGCUCACUUAAUUAGUGAUCAGUUAUAACAUUAGCUUGCAGGCCGCUAGAAUAAACUUGCGUAGAAUACAAUACUGCAGCCGUCCACGCACCAGCCUCUGUAAUCAAAAGCACAAGCGACACAAGACAAGGGGAGAGAACAAAACGUAGAAAAGGAACUGAUCCAGUUUCAUUGUUUCAGUCAAAGGUUGAAGGGGUCUUGUUAUUGUGGCCUUGAAUGAGCAGCGAACUCGGAGAUGAUUACGACACUUUGUCAAAGGUUGAAGAGGUCUUGUUAUUGUGGCCUUGAAUGAGCAGCGAACCCGAAGAUGAUUACGACACUUCGUCCAUGAUGGCCGACCGGAGCGAGUGGUUGGGGAUGAGGCUCUUGCUCGGCAGCCGGAGGUUGGUCAUCGGCGACUUGUCCUUCAUGCUCACCCAUGUCUCGAUCGCCUUCCGGUCGUAGGUGUACCCAUCGGCGGCGACGCAUGGGUCCUCCAUGAUUUCCUGAAGAAUGGGGCAGAGGAAGUGGCCCGGCGCCGCUGACGAUGAUGCUGGUCGACCAUGCUAUGAACAGGGCGGGCACUAGCAAAUACUUUGACCUGAACUCCAACAACUGAUCUGAAGCCAAACUUAUCCAAAAUUCCCUCUUUAGACAAUCUUCAUAUGACUUUCUUUGAGUCUUGGUACCUUCAAAGAUUUUCUUCCAAUACUACGGAGACACUUAGGGCUAUUCA